rnacentral:misc_RNA from 1 species
CAUGCGACGGCGGCGCCAUCACGAGUUGCACCGCUGCUCGGCUGCACGAGAGCAGUGUGCGCCCGCAUCGAACAGGCGGCGCUUCGGCUUUCUUGGCGCCCUCGCGCUGUGACGUCGCGAGUAUGACGAGGGCGCAGCAGAGAUGUCGUUAAUCUUCUCCACCACGUCGCCACCCCCCGUAGAGGUCGCCGCAGAUGACUCGCGGUGGGACGCACUUGCUGCGGAGUGCCAGAGAUGUUCAGCUAGCCUCUACAAGUGCAAGCAGGAGGCAGAGCGGAUUGUGCAGUCGAUGGACGGUGUGCUGUUUUGUGCUGCGCUCGAGGCUACGCCACCAUCCGUGUGUGGUGCCGGUCUUUCGAGCAGUGCUCCACCUCCUCUCCGUUAGCGGUAGCGGGUGUGCGUGGGGGGGGACGCGCGACGACGACGUCUCUUCUCCCUACACCCCCGAAGAGUCCUUCCAAUACCCGUCCGCCCACUCACCCACAGGUGUGCGUGAGCGCCUGUGCAGCACCUCGCUCCCCCACCCGCCAAACCUUACAGCCUGCAGUGAGGUUGCCAUCGCUCUUGCAGUUUUCGUCGUUGUUGUUCAAGCGCUGUUUGCGCACCCCCUGGCUCUCUCUCCAUAGGUGCCCCGCUUCAUCGUGUGCUGCUCUGCAGUGACUUCGGUCUUCGAGGCUCAGGUCGAUCUGCUUAUAACGCGUCUCUGCUACUACUGCUGCUGCUGCACUGACAUGUGAGAGUGCCUACAGACUCAUCCUCUUUCCUCCUGCGGUCCGCCUGCGUGCGGCGCUACCGGCCACACGCAGCAUAUCGUCCGUCGGUGUCGUCUGCCUCUCUUUCUGUGUUGCUCUCUGAAGCCUCCCGUGCUGUGCCCUCGGCUGGUGUGCCACGAAUCCGCGCUCAGGGACGCGGGCCCACUGUGCUUCCCUUGGCAGCGUUAUGUUGCGUCCCCUUCAUGGUGUCUCGCGUACCCAAGGGCACGCCGACGAACCCGUCUUUCUCUCGUUUCCUCAUCGACGCAACCCGUGCUACGUCAACGUCACGCACGCACACGACGCACACGCAGACGGAAACUCUCGCCUCGCACGAUUCGCGUCCCUCGUUCCUCUUCGCCUCCUCCUCGCCUUAUCGCCGACCACAAGCACGCUGCAGAAGCUCGUGAGGAAAGUCGCCAGGGUGACUGGCGCCAGCGGCCGACCCGGGCCGUGCCAUCUUGGAGACGCUGCUUGAGCACGGCUGCGCGGCAUUCCUGGCCAAUGUGGACGGCGCCUCUGUAGCGUCGCUGAGGGAUGAACUGGACAACCACGGCGCCGCCGCUGAACGUGUCUCGUGAGAAACAGUGGGCCACUGCCGCGGCGGCAUGCAGGAACGCGCUUGGUCGCGUGUACAUUCUUGUGUGUCACGCCGGCAUCAACAUCAUGGAGGCCCUGGAGAGCACGACGCUGGAUGUGGGGCGCAAUACAAUGAAUGGGAAUGCCUUGGGCACCUUCCUUGGCAUCAGCACCCUGCUGCCGCUGAUGAAGGCGCAAGGGGGAGGAGGACGGAAGCAUCCUGUCUGUCGCAUCCAUGGGUGCGUUACGUGACACCACGGUGCAGUCCGCGUGUUGCGCCAGGGAGGAUGCAGCGCCUCUCAUGCGCGCGUCCCUGGCGCUGGAGCUCAUUCCCUUUAACACCUGCGUGAGCGUGAGGCACCUCGGCACGGGCAACACACCGAUGGGUGAGCACCUAACGCCUGCGACGCACCAGCAGCCGGAGAACCUCGGCAAGGCCUUGCCGAUCGGGCGCCUUCAGCAUCCGCACGUGAUCACAGAGCCAGUUUCAUUCUUCACCUCAGAUCGUACCUCGUGCAUGCUGGGCGCAGACGCCAAGCAUCGACGGCAACUCCACAGUGAAAUCUCACCUGUAGGCGGCGCAUCGAAAUUCCAAAGCAGCACGGAGACGGGAAGGAGGGAGAUGGGCGGGGACGUCUGUGCCCGUGUGGGCGCACAAGCCUAUCCACCUUCAAGUUCCUCGCCACACGCACCGGCUCUCCACUGUCUGAUUUACCGCCGAGACACCGCUGUCCGCGUCUGCUUUUUCUUCUCCAUCCCUUCCACCAUCGCCAUCGGCUGACUUUGCAGCGCUGCCGUUGCUACUGAUGCGCACCGCACAGACGUACGCGGCCCCACGCCCACCCAUCGUGGCUUCUCUCUCCGCCCUCUCAUCGCCGACUUACACUCAUCGCAUUCCAGUUCGUGCGUGUGCUCUCCCUCACCGCCGUUCAACGCUGUUCCGCGUUGCACCGACAUGCACGCUUUCGGUGCCUCCUCCUCCGUCAUUCUGUUGUCCCUGCUCUUCCUUGUCUCUUCCAUUGCUCGCUAUUCCCAUAUUGUGCGCAUGCGGUGGCCGCGCCUGACUGCGGUGGUGGGGCACCACCGUUGCCCAUGCAGGCAGUGUGCCCGAACUAGCGGGUGGGGGGCAGCCGCGGGGUGACGGGUGCUGCGCGACGAAGUGACAGGGGCGCGUGGCCUGCAGGCUGUGUACGCAAGGUGUUACCCGGUGCUGCAGCGCCGACGCCUUGGUGUGUCCUUGCACUAUAGCGACAGACAGCAAGGUGGCGUGCAUCGGAAUAGCGCGGAGGCGUGGUUCACGCCUCCGCCUCUGCUUUAUCAUACGGACUUCGCUGAGACGUACUGCGGAUUCGACCGGCAGAGGGUGGGGUACACUCGACCACUCGCGGAGCGCUCCAUCAUCCGCGUCGAGGGCGAUCGAGAGGUGUGCUGCAAGUCUGCGGACACAUUCUUGCUGGCGCACUACGCUCCCCCGCCAUAUCCUGCGGCAGACGCGCCGCGACAAUGCAGCCGCGGCGUUCUUCCCUGAGCGAUGCCAUCAGCGCGUUCACAUCGACUUUCGGCGCUGUCUAGGGGUAACGGAAUGCCUGUGGCUCCUCGUUGGCGGCCCACGCAAAAUCCUAUCACGGUGCGCAUCUGUCGCCGCUUCAGUGAGCUGUGCAGCGUUCCGCAUUCUUGGGCGGAGCAGAUGUAGUGGCGCACGGACGAGGCGCGGGCAACAGCGGACUCGUUCGCCACGCUCUACCACCGCAACGGCAUCAACGCCGACACGAUCCGCAUUGCGCCGAUGGCGGUAGUCAUGCACGAGUACGGCUGGGCCAGAUACGUGGGCGAGCCGACGGUGAGGAGGGCGAGGUGCUCGGACUCGUUCGACAGCUCGCCCAAUCUGACGGUGGAGCAGCGACUGCGGCUAUAUGCGUUCUUCUCCGACUUCAUGUGGAAAGACCGCAAGGGGUGGGACGUACUGCUGGGCGUCUCCUGGGAACGCCUCCGGCCCCGACGUGCCGCUGGCGCUGCGGGAGCGCAGGGCACUGGCCAUCAACACAAAGUUCGAGGCGGCGCUCACGAGAGGCUUGAUGCACGGUGGCAUCUUGCGCUUCAUCGAGGCGUGGGGCCACCCUGGCCCCCCCCCCCCCCCCCCGGUCGGGCUGAUCCGUCUCUCUAACUCCCUUACCUGAUGGCCAUUGGCGCUCACUGUCGAGCACGGACAUGGCGCAGAUGCGCGCCAACACCGACGCCUUCGUGUACCCGUGGACGCUCUACAGGGGAUCACGCUGGCCUAGGCGUACCGUUACGACGAAGGCAUGGCGAUGGCUGUGCCGAGCAGCGAGAGGACUGCAGAGUUGAUGCAGGACGUUGUGCAGCAUCCGGGACACGCACAGCACGUAGUCGCGCGCACGCGAGCUUGUGCGUGAGCUCGGCCGGGUGCCGUUACAGACCGGAUGGGCCAACCGCUCCGCCAGCAGUGCGCCGGCGAAUCAGCACCGAAAACACUUGCUCUCAGGUGUGCACCUGCCGAAACGGACAACGGCGCUGAGGUGCUGUGCACAAUGGCGGCUCUGAGCUGGUAGCCGCUGACGUGCAUUCGCCAAGAAAGGUGAGACGAGGGUGACGGUAUGCUGCGGUCAGUGCAGAAUGCCACGGGCUGAGUGGGCGCGUGUGCAGAUCAUCUUUUCGCUCUCCUCCACUCCACGCGCGCGCAGAAUGUUGUUCUUCGAUGGCGACGUCUUGUCCGCUUCUGCGCCGGCCUCUCUCCCCUUUCUUUCUCCCUCUUCUGUGCUCUCACUUGGCGGCGUGUGUUGCUUAAAGCGGCGUACGUGUGCGUCUCUGUGCAUGCGAACACGUAUCGAAGAUUCGCGCGGACGCUCUCCGUCCCUUUUUUUUUUGCUGAGCCGCGCGCGCCCCGUGCGCAGUGGGCACGCACUUGGCGCCACUCUUGCACUCACACCUUCUCUCGAGUCCCGCCAUUUUCUGGAGCUGGCGUAUCUCUGCUCUCGUUGUUUCACACGUCUACCCACCACCCUCGGGCCCACUGCCCCCCUUCCUCCACCACUUCCUCCCCCUCAUCCAGGAAACGGCCGUUGCCAUGCUAACGCACUGCCGGCGCCAUCGCUGAAUUUUUUCUUCUUCAAAGGGCAGCCUCGCGGUGCCUGCGCUGCAGCGGUUCAUUAGGCGCGGUGAGCUGACACCCGUGCGCACUCCGGCA